rnacentral:rRNA from 1 species
CCUACGGGAUGCAGCAGUGAGGAAUAUUGGUCAAUGGACGGAAGUCUGAACCAGCCAUGCCGCGUGCAGGAAGACGGCUCUAUGAGUUGUAAAUUGCUUUUGUACAAGGGUAAACCUGAAGACGUGUAAUCAGCGGAAAGGACUGUACGGAUAAGGAUCGGCUAACUCCGUGCCAGCAGCCGCGGUAAGACGGAGGGUCGAAGCGUUAUCCGGAUUUAUUGGGUUUAAAGGGUGCGUAGGCGGAUUGAUAAGUUAGAGGUGAAAUGUCCGGGCUUAACUCGGGAACUGCCUCUAAUACUGUUGAUCUAGAGAGUUGAUGCGGUAGGCGGAAUGUAUGGUGUAGCGGUGAAAUGCUUAGAGAUCAUACAGAACACCGAUUGCGAAGGCAGCUUACCAAUCUAUAUCUGACGUUGAGGCACGAAAGCGUGGGGAGCAAACAGGAUUAGAUACCCCAGUAGUC